GGGAAGAUGACUGAGUUGGUUUAAGGUGAUAGUUUGUAAAAUUAUUGUUUGUAAAACAUCGUAGGUUCAAAUCCUACUCUUCCCA
rnacentral:tRNA from 1 species